rnacentral:lncRNA from 1 species
AAAAAAACAGACUAGCACAGUAACAUGGCUCCUAGUGAAAAAGGUAUUGGUGUGCUCAGUGUGACAACAAUCUCUUUUCUCAGGCCAAAUAGAGACAAGCGUUCAGUCAGCUGGCCUUAACUACCCUACUCAGUGUUAUUCGUUUAGCAUUGGGCUUGUUGUGUGGAACUCACACCAUCUAUGCACAGCUGUCUGAAAUACUGCGGGAUCAGAGGCACAUGUGCAAUGAGAAUGUCUCUGCAACUUCAUUUCUCAUUUUCAGGUCAAUAGACUGCAGUUCAAAGGAAAAUGCGCUAUUUCCGCAUUCUGGUUGGUAAAGGACCAACUCCAGACAAGACCGGCGCCAUAAGAUCACUUCCCAGCCUAGGAUUUUCUCUGGGCUUAAUGUGCUUCAACGUGUAAGUGUUUAAGAUGUCACUUGUAAGAAAAGAGAGCUGUGAAAAAUCACCCCAGGGAAGUUCCAAUAAUCCAACCCGCAUCAGUUCAAAAAAGCAGCUCAGUGCUUGGAAAGUCUCCAAGAAAAAUACGAGGUUGCUGCCUUGAGACACUUGUUAAUGGAAGUCAGUUCUAAAUGUGCAUCCAUUCCAGUGUCUUUUAAAGGCUAAGGGGGUCUUUCUGCAGAUCACCUUCUUCCUUAAAGACCUGGAAUCAGAAGAUAUCAAACUCCAGGAAAGGAGUCUACCUCAGCUGGAGAGAGAUGUUUUGUGCUUGCUAGGGUUUAGCUGACUGUACAUGUGCGGAACAUGGCCUGCUCCACCAGCCCAAAGAGCACCUGGGCUAAAGCAGGAACAUUCCUGCAGCACCAAGCUGCCAUCUUGGACGUAUGGACCCGCCAUGCUGCAAGGACUGCUAAGAUGACAUCAGCACCCAAGACCAGCAAGUUCCUUGGGUCUCUCUAAUCCACUGUUCGUUACUAUUACAAAAUGCCUGAGGCUAGAUACACAUGAGAGAUUUCUUCAACCAAGAAUUCCAAAGACUGGAAAUCACAAAAUUGGUGGGACCUCAUCUGCUUCACUUCUGAGGAUGAGUUUGUAGCUACACCUCAACAUGGUGGAUGGCACCAUGGCAGGAACACAGGAAAGAAGGAGAGGUCAUGGGAAGGGACAGGAGGGGAGAGUCUGGGAAAGAGCCCAGUUAACACACUCUCUCUGGAAUUAGUCCCUUGCUAUGAGCUAUGACCCACUCCCACAUGACUGUUAAUGUAUUCAUGAGAUGGAUUCCCCCAUGACCUUAUUACAUCGCUGACCUGAUUUGUUAAAGAUUCUAUCCACCAAAACACCACCAUGCUAAGGACUAAACUUAUAAGACAUAAACCUGCUGGGGACCAUAUCCCACCUCAUCUGCCCCAGACAAACAUGCUUCAGAAAAUGCAAGCCUUGGUCAAAUGGUGACAGCCUUCUACACACCUCUAGGCGUGUACGAAUCGCUAGGACACCAAUAUCACAUCAUCAGAAAGAUACAAGCCACUAAGGAAGCCCACAGACACUUCCCUCUCCCAAGGGUGAAGCUAUACAUCUGGCUUAGCUUUUAGAGAACAUAAAUAGAAUUUAUUUUCAUAAUCCAUGGACCAUCAGUGUGCAGUCUCCUAUCUAAGGUGAGCAUGCUCAGUGGGUCCCAGCCCUGCUCUGCCUUCCCAUCAAGCAGUACUAAGGAGUCUUGCUGUACCCUAACUGUCUUUGGAAUCGAAAGAAGCAUAAAGAGACGGUUUAGUUUGGAUUCUGCAUGUUUAGAGAAAUAUUAUGUGAAUAUUCCAAAGUUGCUCAACACCAAAGAAGGUCUGUCACUCAUGGGAGAGCACAGUGGAGACCAAUUAAGGAUCGUACGAUGAUGAUGAGACGUCACCAGAAUGGUGUCCUGUGACUGAUGGUGGCACCACCAACUGAUGUGGAAACUUCCAGCUUCUUUUUUAAGUUCAUUGUGUCAAACAGUGUCUUGCUAAAGCAGACACGGGUGAAAGGAUGUUUGAAGAUAGCCAACAUGAGGAAGGACCCAUGAGGACGGAGUAUAAAAAUGACCCCACAGACAGUGGGAGACAAGCACAGAGCACUGGUUUGGUUUGUUCCACCUCCCUGUUCUUUACGAACAGCACGCGUGUAUUGGUUCACCUUACAUAGCAUUUUUGAGCUCAACUUGUGGUAAAACUGCUACUGAGAGAAGCUCGCCCAAGAACUGCUAGUGAGGUUCCUGAGGCAGCCAGCUUGCCACCUCCUCGGCCCCACCUCAGGCUGGUUGGCCAACCUUGCAAUUCCUUCAGGAUUGAACUACAGCUGCCAGUUCAUGUGUGCUGUCUGCCUGCCUAGAGUACUGCUCAGAUCUGCAGCUGCCGAGGCGGAUUUGGUGUUCGCUAAGGAACUAAACUGCUUCCAAAUUAGACUGAGCUCACCCCCAAAGAACCAUUGCUGAGCAGGUCUACUUCCCCUCACCCUAGUAACUUUCCUCUUCCACUAUCUCGGCUGGGUAGUGGGCUGAAGGACAGGUUGAACUCUUGCUAAAAGUAGGUUGCAAAAAUAUGUAUGCCAACAACCAACAUCACCAUGAAGGGUACACACUGCAAAAUUAUAAGGAGGACAUAACACGCAAAAACCUUUGCCCUCAAAAGAGAUACCAAAUACAUUUGGUUAAUAUCAGUUAUCUAGAAGGCAUCCUACCCACCAGUAGUGGGAAUCCAAAUACCAGCUCAGUAAUACCUGCUUAUCCAUAGAGGACAAGACACAGACCACAGUGGAGGCCUUGGGCCACAGGCAAGUCAUGAAACACACAGCAUUAAUACUGCACAUACUACAGUCUUUUUUUUUUACAUACACAUCUAAGAUAAUUUGAUAAAUCAUGCCUAGAACAAGACUUAAAUAAAAGGAGAUAGAGUAAUUAUAACAUAGCACAAUAAAUAUUAAAAUGGUGAAAUUUGCUGAGUGUGACCAUGGAUAACUGAUCACUGUAAUUGACACCCACACAACCCACAGCUAUAAAUGCAUAAACUGAACACAAUAGAAUAUUACAUAGCAAUAAAAAGGGGGUGAACUAUGAUUACAGACAACUGUACACACAAGUCCAAAUGCAUUAUGCCAGCCAAACUGAAAAAGCCUACAUGCUAUGAUUCUACUAUUUCUAGAUCUCUCUGAGAAAGGCCAGAAUACCAGAACAGGCUUGCCUCGAACUCAGAAAUCUGCCUGCCUCUGCCUCCAGAGUGAGUUCCAGGACAGCCAGGGCUAUACAGAGAAACCCUGUCUC